UGCAAGUCGAACGAACUCUGGUAUUGAUUGGUGCUUGCAUCAUGAUUUACAUUUGAGUGAGUGGCGAACUGGUGAGUAACACGUGGGAAACCUGCCCAGAAGCGGGGGAUAACACCUGGAAACAGAUGCUAAUACCGCAUAACAACUUGGACCGCAUGGUCCGAGUUUGAAAGAUGGCUUCGGCUAUCACUUUUGGAUGGUCCCGCGGCGUAUUAGCUAGAUGGUGGGGUAAUGGCUCACCAUGGCAAUGAUACGUAGCCGACCUGAGAGGGUAAUCGGCCACAUUGGGACUGAGACACGGCCCAAACUCCUACGGGAGGCAGCAGUAGGGAAUCUUCCACAAUGGACGAAAGUCUGAUGGAGCAACGCCGCGUGAGUGAAGAAGGGUUUCGGCUCGUAAAACUCUGUUGUUAAAGAAGAACAUAUCUGAGAGUAACUGUUCAGGUAUUGACGGUAUUUAACCAGAAAGCCACGGCUAACUACGUGCCAGCAGCCGCGGUAAUACGUAGGUGGCAAGCGUUGUCCGGAUUUAUUGGGCGUAAAGCGAGCGCAGGCGGUUUUUUAAGUCUGAUGUGAAAGCCUUCGGCUCAACCGAAGAAGUGCAUCGGAAACUGGGAAACUUGAGUGCAGAAGAGGACAGUGGAACUCCAUGUGUAGCGGUGAAAUGCGUAGAUAUAUGGAAGAACACCAGUGGCGAAGGCGGCUGUCUGGUCUGUAACUGACGCUGAGGCUCGAAAGUAUGGGUAGCAAACAGGAUUAGAUACCCUGGUAGUCCAUACCGUAAACGAUGAAUGCUAAGUGUUGGAGGGUUUCCGCCCUUCAGUGCUGCAGCUAACGCAUUAAGCAUUCCGCCUGGGGAGUACGGCCGCAAGGCUGAAACUCAAAGGAAUUGACGGGGGCCCGCACAAGCGGUGGAGCAUGUGGUUUAAUUCGAAGCUACGCGAAGAACCUUACCAGGUCUUGACAUACUAUGCAAAUCUAAGAGAUUAGACGUUCCCUUCGGGGACAUGGAUACAGGUGGUGCAUGGUUGUCGUCAGCUCGUGUCGUGAGAUGUUGGGUUAAGUCCCGCAACGAGCGCAACCCUUAUUAUCAGUUGCCAGCAUUAAGUUGGGCACUCUGGUGAGACUGCCGGUGACAAACCGGAGGAAGGUGGGGAUGACGUCAAAUCAUCAUGCCCCUUAUGACCUGGGCUACACACGUGCUACAAUGGAUGGUACAACGAGUUGCGAACUCGCGAGAGUAAGCUAAUCUCUUAAAGCCAUUCUCAGUUCGGAUUGUAGGCUGCAACUCGCCUACAUGAAGUCGGAAUCGCUAGUAAUCGCGGAUCAGCAUGCCGCGGUGAAUACGUUCCCGGGCCUUGUACACACCGCCCGUCACACCAUGAGAGUUUGUAACACCCAAAGUCGGUGGGGUAACCUUUUAGGAACCAGCC
rnacentral:rRNA from 1 species